rnacentral:rRNA from 1 species
CCUACGGGAGGCAGCAGUAGGGAAUUUUCGGCAAUGGGGGGAACCCUGACCGAGCAACGCCGCGUGAACGAAGAAGUUAUUCGUAAUGUAAAGUUCUUUUAACCGGGAAGAAAGAGAAAUUUGACGGUACCUGAAGAAUAAGCUCCGGCUAACUACGUACCAGCAGCCGCGGUAAUACGUAGGGAGCGAGCGUUAUCCGGAAUUAUUGGGCGAAAAGGGUGCGUAGAUGGCAUAGUAAGUCUUUUGGAAAAAUGCUGGGCUAAACCCAGUAGGGCAAAAGAUACUGCAAAGCUAGAGUAUGACAGAGGCAAGUGGAACUACAUGUGUAGCGGUAAAAUGCGUAAAUAUAUGUAAGAACACCAGUGGCGAAGGCGGCUUGCUGGGUCGAUACUGACAUUGAGGCACGAAAGCGUGGGGAGCAAACAGGAUUAGAUACCCGAGUAGUC